GAUGAACGCUGGCGGCGUGCCUAAUACAUGCAAGUCGAGCGAACAGACGAGGAGCUUGCUCCUCUGACGUUAGCGGCGGACGGGUGAGUAACACGUGGAUAACCUACCUAUAAGACUGGGAUAACUUCGGGAAACCGGAGCUAAUACCGGAUAACAUGUUGAACCGCAUGGUUCAACAGUGAAAGACGGUCUUGCUGUCACUUAUAGAUGGAUCCGCGCCGCAUUAGCUAGUUGGUAAGGUAACGGCUUACCAAGGCAACGAUGCGUAGCCGACCUGAGAGAGGGAUAGGCCACACUGGAACUUAGACACGGUCCAGACGCCUACGGGAGGCAGCAGUAGGGAAUCUUCCGCAAUGGGCGAAAGCCUUACGGAGCAACGCCGCGUGAGUGAAGAAGGUCUUCGGAUCGUAAAACUCUGUUAUUAGGGAAGAACAACUGUGUAAGUAACUAUGCACGUCUUGACGGUACCUAAUCAGAAAGCCACGGCUAACUACGUG
rnacentral:rRNA from 1 species